rnacentral:rRNA from 1 species
GGCGGACGGGUGAGUAAUACUUAGGAAUCUGCCCAUUAGUGGGGGACAACUCGAGGAAACUCGAGCUAAUACCGCAUACGCCCUACGGGGGAAAGCGGGGGUCUUCGGACCUCGCCCUAAUGGAUGAGCCUAAGUCGGAUUAGCUUGUGGGUGAGGUAAUGGCUCACCAAGGCGACGAUCCAUAGCUGGUCUGAGAGGAUGAUCAGUCACACUGGAACUGAGACACGGUCCAG